AUACGUAGGGGGCGAGCGUUGUCCGGAAUGACUGGGCGUAAAGGGCGUGUAGGCGGCCGAUUAAGUCUGGAGUGAAAGUCCUGCUUUCAAGGUGGGAAUUGCUUUGGAGACUGGUUGGCUUGAGUGCGGAAGAGGUAAGUGGAAUUCCCAGUGUAGCGGUGAAAUGCGUAGAGAUUGGGAGGAACACCAGUGGCGAAGGCGACUUACUGGGCCGUAACUGACGCUGAGGCGCGAAAGCGUGGGGAGCGAACAGGAUUAGAUACCCUGGUAGUCCACGCUGUAAACGAUGAAUGCUAGGUGUAGGGGGUAUCGGCCCCUCCUGUGCCGGAGUAAACGCAAUAAGCAUUCCGCCUGGGGAGUACGGCCGCAAGGUUGAAACUCAAAUGAAUUGACGGGG
rnacentral:rRNA from 1 species